GAUGCAUGUUCAGUGAAAUCGAGUAGGGCGGGACACGUGUUAUCCUGUCUGAAUAUGGGGGGACCAUCCUCCAAGGCUAAAUACUCCUGACUGACCGAUAGUGAACCAGUACCGUGAGGGAAAGGCGAAAAGAACCCCUGUGAGGGGAGUGAAAUAGAACCUGAAACCGUGUACGUACAAGCAGUAGGAGCACCUUCGUGGUGUGACUGCGUACCUUUUGUAUAAUGGGUCAGCGACUUAUAUUCAGUGGCAAGGUUAACCAUCUAGGGGAGCCGUAGGGAAACCGAGUCUUAACUGGGCGCCAUAGUCUCUGGAUAUAGACCCGAAACCGAGUGAUCUAGCCAUGGGCAGGUUGAAGGUUGAGUAACAUCAACUGGAGGACCGAACCGACUAAUGUUGAAAAAUUAGCGGAUGACUUGUGGCUAGGGGUGAAAGGCCAAUCAAACUCGGAGAUAGCUGGUUCUCCCCGAAAGCUAUUUAGGUAGCGCCUCGGACGAAUACUACUGGGGGUAGAGCACUGUUAAGGCUAGGGGGUCAUCCCGACUUACCAACCCUUUGCAAACUCCGAAUACCAGUAAGUACUAUCCGGGAGACACACGGCGGGUGCUAACGUCCGUCGUGGAGAGGGAAACAACCCAGACCGCCAGCUAAGGUCCCAAAUUACAGCUAAGUGGGAAACGAUGUGGGAAGGCUUAGACAGCUAGGAUGUUGGCUUAGAAGCAGCCAUCAUUUAAAGAAAGCGUAAUAGCUCACUAGUCGAGUCGGCCUGCGCGGAAGAUGUAACGGGGCUAAGUUGUAAACCGAAGCUGCGGCAAUGUUCUAUGAACAUUGGGUAGGGGAGCGUUCUGUAAGCCGUUGAAGGUGUGUUGUAAAGCAUGCUGGAGGUAUCAGAAGUGCGAAUGCUGACAUGAGUAACGACAAGGGGGGUGAAAAACCUCCCCGCCGGAAGACCAAGGGUUCCUGUCCAACGUUAAUCGGGGCAGGGUAAGUCGACCCCUAAGGCGAGGCUGAAAAGCGUAGUCGAUGGGAAACGGGUUAAUAUUCCCGUACUUCUUACAAUUGCGAUGGGGGGACGGAGAAGGCUAGGUGGGCCUGGCGACGGUUGUCCAGGUUCAAGUGCGUAGGCUGAGUGUUUAGGUAAAUCCGGAUACUCUUAAGGCUGAGACACGACGUCGAGCUACUACGGUAGUGAAGUCAUUGAUGCCAUGCUUCCAGGAAAAGCCUCUAAGCUUCAGAUUGUAAGGAAUCGUACCCCAAACCGACACAGGUGGUCGGGUAGAGAAUACCAAGGCGCUUGAGAGAACUCGGGUGAAGGAACUAGGCAAAAUGGUACCGUAACUUCGGGAGAAGGUACGCUCUUGAUGGUGAA
rnacentral:rRNA from 1 species